AAUGAACGUUGGCGGCGUGGAUUAGGCAUGCAAGUCGUGCGAGAACCGUAGCAAUACGGGGACAGCGGCGAAAGGGAGAGGAAUCCGCGGGUACCUACCCUCGGAUCUGGGAUAGCUACGGGAAACUGUAGGUAAUACCAGAUGACGUCUUCGGACCAAAGGUGUGAUUCCGUCCGGGGAGGGGCCCACGUCCUAUUAGCUUGUUGGCGAGGUAACGGCUCACCAAGGCAAAGAUGGGUAUGGGAUGUGAGAGCAUGAUCCCACUCACUGGGACUGAGACACUGCCCAGACACCUACGGGUGGCUGCAGUCGAGAAUCUUCGGCAAUGGGGGCAACCCUGACCGAGCGACGCCGCGUGCGAGAUGAAGGCCUUCGGGUUGUAAAUCGCUGUCAGUGGGGAGGAAAUGCUGGUGGGUUCUCCCAUCAGUUUGACCUAUCCGCAGAGGAAGGACGGGCUAAGUUCGUGCCAGCAGCCGCGGUAACAC
rnacentral:rRNA from 1 species